AACGAACGCUGGCGGCAUGCCUAACACAUGCAAGUCGAACGAGACCUUCGUGUCUAGUGGCUCACGGGUGCGUAACGCGUGGGAACCUGCCCUUAUGUUCGGAAUAACUCCCCGACAGGGGUGCUAAUACCGGAUAAUGUCUUCGGACCAAAGAUUUAUCGCCUUUGUAUGAGCCCGCGUUCUAUUAGCUUGUUGGGAGUGUAAAAGCCUACCACGGCGGCGAUCCAUAGCUGGUCUGAGAGGAUGAUAAGCCACACUGGGACGGAGACACGGCCCAGACUCCUGGGGGAGGAAGAAGGGGGGAAUAUUGGAGAAGGGGAGGAAGGGGGAACAAGCCAAAACGGGUGGGUGAAGAAGGCCAUCGGGUUGUGAAGCGGUUUAGUGGGGAAGGAAAAGAAGGAGGUUUAUACCGGGAUGAUAUGAAGGUACCCGGAGAAUAAGCACCGGCUAACUUCGUG
rnacentral:rRNA from 1 species